UUGAGGGGGAGUAAAUGAUGACAGAAUUUUCAUUUGUGGGUGAACUAUCCCUUUAAUAUUAUUAAUAAACUAUAUAUUAAUGUGGCAAGUUGCUACAUUGUUUCUCAAAGCUACAGUUAGGCUAAUUAAUUUAAUUAGCAAAUAGAAUAAAACAGAAUUAAAGCAAAUGGAAUAAAUGUUUAUUCUUAUGAUUAAUAUACGGAACUAUGCAUAACAUUUGUUGUCUUUUAUCAUUAAAAAAAAAAUAAUCCAAGAGAGACUGUGCAUUACAGUCUCUUGUGGCUUAUUGCAUCAUUAUAUAAAUAACCUGAAACCAAGUUCUGUCAUAAUACCGAGGAAAUGUAUGCAGUAGUAUUAUGAUAUUUCAGGGUCCACACUUUUUGACUAAUGAAUUUAUUUUUAUUUUUUCUAGCCUGGAAAACAGCAUUUUGAAAAUUCCUGAUUUUUACAUGUUUUUCAUGAUUUUGGGAACCCCGAUACUUGUAGUAGUACAAAAUGGAAAAUGCCCAAACCAUUUUUUAUUAAAUAAGUUACAUUUAUAUUAUAAUAUUGCUUUAUUAUUUCUAUUAUUAUUAACUCGCCCACUCAAAUAAAGUAAAAAAUACAUUUCUGAAUCAUAAUUAUUUUUUCAAAUCUUGCUUUAUCAUCAUCAUUAUUAUUAUUAUUAUUAUUAUUAAAAACAAUCACAUAAAGGAAACAUGCAGAGGGGGUUAAAAUAGAGUUGUUCCCGCGUCAUUUGUAUAACAAUGAUAGCAACAACCCGCGCUGGUUUUGGACACGCCCCCCGAGCGGCGCUUCAGAAAAUGAACAGGAUCAUAAGACGCCAAUGAUGACGCAACAUCCCCUUGCAGCAAGAUCUCAAGUGUCCAAACUCCAAACAGUCCUUAUGAGCUUUUAUCCUGCCUUUCAAUGGCCGUGGCGCUCUACAAGUCUCAACUUCACCUGGGCCACUUGAGCAGCCAUUACGCGCUGUCUCUCCACCACCAGAAGGCAGUUUGCACACUGGCAGUCUCUCCAUCGGCAGAAUCUCUUGUGCCCCUUAAGACAAGACACUACGCCGUGGUUCCUACAGCGGGCGCAUUUCGGAGUGCGGCUCAGUUUGCGCUGG